UACAGUGACCCUGUUACUCCUUUCCCAGAAUGCAGUGAGGGGAGUCAGGAAUGUCUCAGGCCUUCAGUAAAGUCAGCUCAGUUAGCUGAGGUCAUGGGGACGUAAUUCCUUGAGUGAUGAAUUUGUAGCAAGGACCAGAGGUAGAGUGAGGGCUGCAUCUUUUAUGUGAACAUCUUCAGUAGUUUACUGCUUUUAUUCUUCCCCCUGUUUUCAUGAUAAAGAUUAUUGGUUAUAUUUAGUCAUGUGAGGGCACAUAUAUAUUGGACUUUAUGGAUUUGUGCAUGCUUUGUGGUGAUUUUAAAAUUCUGAGUAGCAAUUUGUGUUGUAAUUAGCAUAUAUGAGGGUACUUCAGAAAGUUCAUGGAAAAUAGAUUCAUUUUUGUAAAGAUUUAUUUUUAAAUCAGAGCAUAGUUGUUCUCAGUACACAGCUGACAUGAACUUUUUGAAGCUCCCAUGUCUGCAUGGAUUUCAACAUUUUUUGAACCAAAAAAUUCUUGUUACUGUGUGAGGUGCCCUCGUCCCCACAUCCGUACUGUGCUACCACCUUCCUCACCUUUUAUGUUUUCAAGUUGGGCUCUUCUACGCACGUGUGUGUUGAGCAAUGCCCGUUCCAUGUCAGUGGGCAAGGUUCUUAGAGCAGACACAAGGUUGCUCUCUGACCAUUGUUUAUCUUUAUUUUUAUCCUCCCAUCUCAUGCUUGUGCAGUGAAAUAUCCUAAUCUGAGAGUUCGGGGGCUUCUGGGUGCUGCCCUGCCACCCUUCCAAGUCCACUUUUUCACAACAGCAUAGAAGCAACGUGCAUAGUAGUGGGCGUUGGCUGUGGAGAGGACCUGUGUUCUGCUUCUGCCGCCUCUCCCAGAGACACCUGAGGUGGACAGGGCCGCCCUGCCAGGGGGUGCCACAGCACAUGAGCAGAAUACCAGCAGGGGUUCCCACUCCACAGAGCAGCCCUGCACUCACACUCCCAGCACACGGCUGGGGCUCCGCUAGCUGGUGCCCAGUGGAGAGGAGCAGGAGCCUCGGUGACACACAGGAGCUGUGCUCCCUCCCGUGCUCCCUGGGGCGCGGUCGUCUCCGAGAGGCAGUGUGGAGAAACUGAACCGUGGCAAGACCAGGAAUUAAACAGGUCAGCCAUGUGCUGUUUCCUGAGGUCGAACUGGUUCACUUGGGACGGCCCUAGAUGUUACAGACUGGUUCACUUGGGACGGCCCUAGAUGCUACAGACUGGUUCGCUUGGGACGGCCCUAGAUGCUACAGACUGGUUCACUUGGGACGGCCCUAGAUGUUACAGACCGGUUCACUUGGGACGGCCCUAGGUGUUACAGACCGGUUCACUUGGGACGGCCCUAGGUGUUACAGACCGGUUCACUUGGGAUGGCCCUAGGUGUUACAGACCGGUUCACUUGGGACGGCCCUAGAUGUUACAGACCGGUUCACUUGGGACGGCCCUAGAUGU